rnacentral:lncRNA from 1 species
UCAAACCGCGCGAAACCAAAUCUUCUACCGCCCUUAUCCCUCUUUGCUGGUAUCACUACCUCCAUGAUAUCCCCAUAGUGGUGAAAAACGUUGAACAUAGCCUUUGCCCCGAAGCUAUCCGGAAAAUCCGUAAAAAAAUAUGUGGUGAGGAUGUUAUUAUUAUCCUUAUUGUGAUUCCUUGCUGUUGCUAUAUCAGAUUUGUACUUCUUGUUGUCUUGUCUGUGACGACCUCUAACUGUCUGCCAAUCCUGAUCAUCGUCCCCCAUCCUUCAGAGAAAAACUUUCGCCGUACAAUUGCUUCGCCAAAACUGGUCCCUAACCGAGGGUAACUCCGUUGCCGGAGAAACCGGGUUAGGACUUUAAACUCUCGUUUGGCUAAU